rnacentral:rRNA from 1 species
AUUGAACGCUGGCGGAAUGCUUUACACAUGCAAGUCGAACGGCAGCACGGGGCAACCUGGUGGCGAGUGGCGUACGGGUGAGUAAUACAUCGGAACGUGCCCAGUCGUGGGGGAUAACGUAGCGAAAGUUACGCUAAUACCGCAUACGAUCUAAGGAUGAAAGCGGGGGAUCGCAAGACCUCGCGCGAUUGGAGCGGCCGAUGUCAGAUUAGGUAGUUGGUGGGGUAAAGGCCCACCAAGCCGACGAUCUGUAGCUGGUCUGAGAGGACGACCAGCCACACUGGGACUUGGACACGGCCCAGACUCCUACGGGAGGCAGCAGUGGGGAAUUUUGGACAAUGGGCGCAAGCCUGAUCCAGCCAUUCCGCGUGCAGGAUGAAGGCCUUCGGGUUGUAAACUGCUUUUGUACGGAGCGAAAAGGCUCUCUCUAAUACAGGGGGCUCAUGACGGUACCGUAAGAAUAAGCACCGGCUAACUACGUGCCAGCCGCCGCGGUAA